rnacentral:rRNA from 1 species
GACGAACGCUGGCGGCGUGCUUAACACAUGCAAGUCGAACGGAAAGGCCCUGCUUUUGUGGGGUGCUCGAGUGGCGAACGGGUGAGUAACACGUGAGUAACCUGCCCUUGACUUUGGGAUAACUUCAGGAAACUGGGGCUAAUACCGGAUAGGAGCUCCUGCUGCAUGGUGGGGGUUGGAAAGUUUCGGCGGUUGGGGAUGGACUCGCGGCUUAUCAGCUUGUUGGUGGGGUAGUGGCUUACCAAGGCUUUGACGGGUAGCCGGCCUGAGAGGGUGACCGGCCACAUUGGGACUGAGAUACGGCCCAGACUCCUACGGGAGGCAGCAGUGGGGAAUAUUGCACAAUGGGGGGAAGCCUGAUGCAGCAACGCCGCGUGCGGGAUGACGGCCUUCGGGUUGUAAACCGCUUUCGCCUGUGACGAAGCGUGAGUGACGGUAAUGGGUAAAGAAGCACCGGCUAACUACGUG